AACGUAGGCGGCAGGCUCAACACAGGCAAUUCGAGCGUCAUUCGUGGGAGCGGCGGACGGGUUAGUAACGCUGGGAACUGCCCAGUCAAGGAUAGCCCUGGAAACGUGAGUAAUACCUAUACGCCUUCGGGGGAAAGAUUAUCGGUUUGGUCGGCCCGCGUUAGAUAGUAGUUGGUGUGGUAAUGGCCAACCAAGUCUACGAUCUAUAGCUGGUUUUAGAGGAUGAUCAGCAACACUGGGACUGAGACACGGCCCAGACUCCUACGGGAGGCAGCAGUGAGGAAUCUUGGACAAUGGGGGCAACCCUGAUCCAGCCAUGCCGCGUGAGUGAUGAAGGCCUUAGGGUCGUAAAGCUCUUUCGCCAGGGAUGAUAAUGACAGUACCUGGUAAAGAAACCCCGGCUAACUCCGUGCCAGCAGCCGCGGUAAUACGGAGGGGGUUAGCGUUGUUCGGAAUUACUGGGCGUAAAGCGCGCGUAGGCGGAUUGGAAAGUUGGGGGUGAAAUCCCGGGGCUCAACCCCGGAACUGCCUCCAAAACUAUCAGUCUAGAGUUCGAGAGAGGUGAGUGGAAUUCCGAGUGUAGAGGUGAAAUUCGUAGAUAUUCGGAGGAACACCAGUGGCGAAGGCGGCUCACUGGCUCGAUACUGACGCUGAGGUGCGAAAGUGUGGGGGAGCAAACAGGAUAGAUACCCUGGUAGUCCACACCGUAAACGAUGAAUGCCAGUCGUCGGCAAGCAUGCUUGUCGGUGACACACCUAACGGAUUAAGCAUUCCGCCUGGGGAGUACGGUCGCAAGAUUAAAACUCAAA
rnacentral:rRNA from 1 species